AGGGUGCUGGAUGCUCUUGUGCAGCUCGGUUCAUUUCUGCACUUUACUGUCCUGCUGCUGCCUGCUACCUCCGAUUUCUGAAAAGAGACAGAGACAUCUAGACAGCACUUCUACUGAAAGAGAGAUAGAGAAGGAGAGAGCUAAAGAGAGAAAAAGAGAUAUAGAGAGUGAGGGAUAGAGAGAGAUAUAUAUAGAGAGACGGAGAGAGAGAGACGGAGAGAGACAGAGAUAUAUAAAGAGAGAGAGAGAGAGCUAAAGAGAGAAAGAGAGAUAUAUAGAGAGGGGAUAGAGAGAUAGAGGAAGAGGGAGAGAGACGGAGAGAGAGAAGAUGACCAUCAACACGCUGACAAAAGGAGGAGCUCAGAGGGAGCAGAUGUAUUGCCUCAGAAAGAUGGAGAGAGUGAUCGUAGCAAUGCAAGAUCCUGACAUGGGGAUGAAGAUGAGAAACCAGAGACUCCUCAUCACCGUUAUACCACACGCCAUGACCGGUAAUGAUGUCAUUGAAUGGCUGAUUCAGAAAUACAACAUAACAGAGGAAGAGGCUCGCCACCUGGGAGGACUCCUGGUGCAGUAUGGGUACAUCUAUCCUCUGAGGGAGCCGUCGCUCACUACUGCUGAGAUCUGAUGACUCUCCU